AGUGGGGAAUAUUGGACAAUGGGCGCAAGCCUGAUCCAGCCAUGCCGCGUGUGUGAAGAAGGCCCUAGGGUUGUAAAGCACUUUCAGUGGGGAGAAAGGCCUUUUACCUAAUACGUAAGAGGAUUGAUGUUACCCACAGAAGAAGCACCGGCUAACUCCGUGCCAGCAGCCGCGGUAAUACGGAGGGUGCAAGCGUUAAUCGGAAUUACUGGGCGUAAAGCGCACGUAGGUGGUUUGUUAAGCCAGCUGUGAAAUCCCCGGGCUCAACCUGGGCACUGCAGUUGGAACUGGCAAGCUAGAGUAGGGUAGAGGGGUGUGGAAUUCCAGGUGUAGCGGUGAAAUGCGUAGAUAUCUGGAGGAACAUCAGUGGCGAAGGCGACACCCUGGACUCAUACUGACACUGAGGUGCGAAAGCGUGGGGAGCAAA
rnacentral:rRNA from 1 species